GACGAACGCUGGCGGCGUGCUUAACACAUGCAAGUCGAACGGAAAGGCCCUGCUUUUGUGGGGUGCCCGAGUGGCGAACGGGUGAGUAACACGUGAGUAACCUGCCCUUGACUUUGGGAUAACUUCAGGAAACUGGGGCUAAUACCGGAUAGGAGCUCCUGCUGCAUGGUGGGGGUUGGAAAGUUUCGGCGGUUGGGGAUGGACCCGCGGCUUAUCAGCUUGUUGGUGGGGUAGUGGCUUACCAAGGCUUUGACGGGUAGCCGGCCUGAGAGGGUGACCGACCACAUUGGGACUGAGAUACGGCCCAGACUCCUACGGGAGGCAGCAGUGGGGAAUAUUGCACAAUGGGCGGAAGCCUGAUGCAGCAACGCCGCGUGCGGGAUGACGGCCUUCGGGUUGUAAACCGCUUUCGCCUGUGACGAAGCGUGAGUGACGGUAAUGGGUAAAGAAGCACCAGCUAACUACGUG
rnacentral:rRNA from 1 species